GGCCCUUACGACCAGGGCUACACACGUGCUACAAUGGCGCAUACAAAGAGAAGCGACCUCGCGAGAGCAAGCGGACCUCAUAAAGUGCGUCGUAGUCCGGAUUGGAGUCUGCAACUCGACUCCAUGAAGUCGGAAUCGCUAGUAAUCGUGGAUCAGAAUGCCACGGUGAAUACGUUCCCGGGCCUUGUACACACCGCCCGUCACACCAUGGGAGUGGGUUGCAAAAGAAGUAGGUAGCUUAACCUUCGGGAGGGCGCUUACCACUUUGUGAUUCAUGACUGGGGUGAAGUCGUAACAAGGUAACCGUAGGGGAACCUGCGGUUGGAUCACCUCCUUACCUUAAAGAA
rnacentral:rRNA from 1 species